rnacentral:rRNA from 1 species
AUACCACAGUCCACCUGGAAUGAGGACUGUGCCAAACGCUCCGGCGCCGAAGGAUGUGGCUGCGGCCGAUUAGGUAGACGGUGGGGUAACGGCCCACCGUGCCAAUAAUCGGUACGGGUCAUGAGAGUGAGAACCCGGAGACGGAAUCUGAGACAAGAUUCCGGGCCCUACGGGGCGCAGCAGGCGCGAAACCUUUACACUGCACGACAGUGCGAUAAGGGAAUCCCAAGUGCGCAGGCAUAGAGCCUGCGCUUUUGUCCACCGUAGGGAGGUGGACGAAUAAGGGCUGGGCAAGACCGGUGCCAGCCGCCGCGGUAAUACCGGCAGCCCGAGUGAUGGCCGAUCUUAUUGGGCCUAAAGCGUCCGUAGCUGGCCGCACAAGUCUAUCGGAAAAUCCACCCGCUCAACGGGUGGGCGUCCGGUAGAAACUGUGUGGCUUGGGACCGGAAGGCGCGACGGGUACGUCCGGGGUAGGAGUGAAAUCCCGUAAUCCUGGACGGACCGCCGAUGGCGAAAGCACGUCGCGAAGACGGAUCCGACAGUGAGGGACGAAAGCUAGGGUCUCGAACCGGAUUAGAUACCCGGGUAGUCCUAGCCGUAAACAAUGCCUGCUAGGUGUGGCUCCCACUACGAGUGGGUGCUGUGCCGUAGGGAAGCCGCUAAGCAGGCCGCCUGGGAAGUACGUCCGCAAGGAUGAAACUUAAAGGAAUUGGCGGGGGAGCACUACAACCGGAGGAGCCUGCGGUUUAAUUGGACUCAACGCCGGACAUCUCACCAGCAUCGACUGUAGUAAUGACGAUCAGGUUGAUGACCUUAUCCGAGCUUCAGAGAGGAGGUGCAUGGCCGCCGUCAGCUCGUACCGUGAGGCGUCCUGUUAAGUCAGGCAACGAGCGAGACCCGCAUCCUUACUUGCCAGCAGCACUGCGAAGUGGCUGGGGACAGUAGGGAGACCGCCGUGGCCAACACGGAGGAAGGAACGGGCAACGGUAGGUCAGUAUGCCCCGAAUGUGCUGGGCAACACGCGGGCUACAAUGGUCGAGACAAAGGGUUCCUACUCCGAAAGGAGACGGUAAUCUCAGAAACUCGAUCGUAGUUCGGAUUGUGGGCUGCAACUCGCCCACAUGAAGCUGGAUUCGGUAGUAAUCG